GGGACCCCCGUAAGUGUCCCUCUGUGCUCCCCGCUCUGUGGGCCGCAGCAGCCCCCAGCCCCCCGAUUCCUGCCUCUCCCCCUUGCGACCCCCCCGGGCAGACGGUGACAGCGUGGUCCUGGCCACGCCACGGCUGCAGAGUGGCCCUGGGGACAGGGCUGUCACCGCUGCUCGCUGGGCGGACUGGCCGGGGAGACUUAAUGCCACCUCCCGCCCCCAGGGACCCCCCGGAGCCCAGGGCCCCCCAGGAAUGGCAGCAGAGAAAGGAGCCAAGGGAUCUCCGGGUCCUAAAGGUGCCGUGGGCCCCCCCGGGCCACCAGGACCCAGCGUCACCGGGCCACCGGGCCCCGAGGGGCAGCGGGGGCUCCCCGGGGUGCCCGGCUCCAGCGGGCUGCCGGUAGGUACGGGACUGGGGGGGGGACGGGGGCACGGAGGGGGCUG
rnacentral:lncRNA from 1 species